rnacentral:lncRNA from 1 species
GGUCUGUAGUUUAUGUCUAAUUUUCAUCUUCAUUUUAAUUGCAGAAUAGAUACAGAGGAUUCAUAAAUGUCCAGCCCCAACUAUGUUGAGGUGCGGUUGAUUAAUGAUAAAAAUGACAAACCAGUACUAACAAUUCGUUAGUAUGCCUCUCUCUUCAGUAUUGGUUGCCUAUCUAAUGUGAUCUUUUGGUGCUCUCGGGUCAUUUGUUUAAGUCCUUCGCGCUCUUCUCUUAUUUCUAAAUUUUCUGUUGUAUCAAAAAGCAGGUGCAACUUGAACCAAUAUUUAUAUGUUCCCUCUGUUUCUUGGAAUAGGAAAAAAGGAAUGUUUAGAUAAGUUUCACAUUUUGGACUACAAAGUUGCUCAUUAGAUUUUACUUUUGGGAAUCGGUAAGUUGAACCUUAGAUAUUAAUCUUCACCUCUUCAGUCCUUUGUUAAGCUUUACGUAGUUUUUACGUUUUGGUAAAACAAAGUUAUGUAGCCAAGCUGCAAAAUCUGUUGUUGGAAUUGUUUCUUUUGUGAAUUAGAAUCAUAAAUGCCUAAGUAAUCAAUGUGUGUGCUUAUAGCUAUUAUAGAUCAACCAGAACUGAUUCUUUUCUUUAUUUUUCUUUUUACAUUUAUCAACAUUUUCUUUUCUUGGUAUAAUGAACAGUGUGUUGUAACUUUUCCCCCAAAUAAAUAAUCAAAAAUUUCAAGGGAACAGGAAGUGAAACUAUUGGUACUCAAAGGUUCUUUUUCUCAUUUUUUUUCAUAUUCCGUAAGUUAUUCAUUGGUAAUUUUAAUGUGUACUACAAUGUAGCAGGCAAAUAUUAUCUUCUUUGUUCCUGUCUGUAGACUUCACUUGAAAUUCCGUAUAAGAUGAGUGAGCCUCCUAUAUAUUAUGGGGUUAUCAGUUCUGCUAUUAUACUCCUCUUAGAGUACUAUGAAUCCAAGAUGAGUUGUUGAUCAGAAAGACAUAAAGGUAUGCAGUGUCCUUUAGGACACUGAUGGGUGUCGAUGAUAAUUCCAAAAGAAUUGAAGAUUGUGCCUAAAUGUUGUUAGGAGUGGAUUGAUCAGUCACUUCUUCAAUUUUAUUUUCUAUACUAUUCAUCAUUUUUAAGUUCUUGCAUAGUGUUAAGCUCAAUCAAUUUAACUAAGAGGAAGUAAAAGAAUUUCUGAGCAAAAUAUAAGAAGGUAAAGGAGAAUAUGGUACACAAUGAGGGAUUAUAUCUCAUUGUAAUUCGACGAAAGGAUGUGCAUGUUAGUAUUGCCAAUGGUGAAAGACAACCAAAACAUCCAUCAUUUUGGAAUUUUACUUUCAUCGGCUAUGUUGUAAAAUCAUUUGUUUCUUUUUGUAUCAUUUAGCAACACUUUUGUAACACCUUCCACUUCUCAGGCACCUUCAAACAAGAAGGUUGUGGUAUUGCUUCCACAACCUUUAGCUUAGAAGAGAUUGUGAUAUGUUUUAGUAGUAUGUUCAAAGAAAACAAAUUAUUUAGCCUUUUUAGCAAACUCCCAGUAUAAUGUUAUCUUCCGCAAAUGAUAUUUGUGUCUCAAAACUAUGUUGGAGAAAACUUAUCAGCACCGGAUAUUUAUACCAAAAUUCAUUAUUAUGUAAUUUAGUGAAGUAAAACACAUGUUAAGAUUAAGUAAAAUGAUCUGUACAUUUAAUCACGUGAUGUGUACGUAUUGAAUUGGUGUAAACACCCGGUGUGAAUAAAGCUUUAUCUUAUUAAGUUUAAUCAUCUCUUCUUUAUUUACGUUUUAAUACUUAAAGCCCAUGCCCUGCACGGGCAUCCUUUAUCUAGUAUAUAUGUGUGUAUAUAUAUAUAUAUAU